rnacentral:rRNA from 1 species
GACGAAGGAUGCAAGCGUUAUCCGGAUUCAUUGGGUUUAAAGGGAGCGUAGGUGGCCUUAUAAGUCAGUGGUGAAAUCUUCGAGCUUAACUCGGAAAUUGCCAUUGAUACUGUAGGGCUUGAGUAUAGUUGCCGUUGGCGGAAUAUGACAUGUAGUGGUGAAAUACAUAGAGAUGUCAUAGAACACCGAUUGCGAAGGCAGCUCACUACCCAGAUAUUGACACUGAGGCACGAAAGCGUGGGGAUCAAACAGG